GCCGAACGUGUAGAGGAAACACAGAAUGAAGACUAUGUGAACGUGAACACGUUUGAUGGUGGAUGGACACAAGAUGAAGGUUCCAGAGGUGAAACAGAUGCAGAAGAAGUCGUGUAUACAACUGUCAUCUUCCACAACAAAACAAAACCCACAAUGUGAGACCUGACUGUUGUGUUUAAUAACAGAGUUUGACAUUACAGGAACAAAUACUGAUAAACUGUAUGACUUACAGAGAGCAGCAGCACUCAGAAGACAAAGCUGUGAUUUACAGUUCAGUGUGCAGGAAUCAGCAUUUGAAUCAUUCUUAUACUGAACCCUCAUGAUUUGACUGCAGACACUGCAGUGUUAUUGUUCA